GCAAAAGUCAUCGUCUGGCUCUGCUAUUUUUUCUAAAUAUUAUUUCCACUACUUAUUUAAUUCUACAAAAAGGGCAAAACAUUCUCUUGAGAAUAAUGCUUUGGCUCAGUCAGUCAGUAAAUUUGAGUGCAAGCUGAGGAAAUUAUCUGUACGUGGGUAGUCUAUCUAUCUGUCUCCUUGACCCUUCAGGGAAGUAAAGAAGGCAAUAUGUGAAAGGAAGACACCUCUAGAAGAAGGAAAAAGGGCCCAGAAAAGGGUAAAUAAUUCAUUUCAUAUAUAAUCUGUGUCCAUGACCUUUUCCAUUUCUCCAUGUUUGCUUUAUCUUUUGACCAUCAAAUAAUAUCUGGCAAAAGUAGCAGGUUAUUAGAGUUGUUUACAAGCUCUAAUAAGUCCAGAUAUUGUACUUUCUAUUGACAUUUAUCCAGGAAAUAGCAGAAUGGAGAAUGACAUAGUCCAAAAGCACUAACACAUGGUAUUGAUAAAAGCACUGGAACACAUACUGAAAAAUCAAUCUAUUGCUUUAAUGACUGAUGCCUUCUUAUUUUGCAGUUUUCACUGUCCUCAAAUGUGCUAAUUACAUCAGUUGUUGCUUGUUGUGCUGAAUGAUUUUGUGGCUUCAUAAAUCAUCAUCAAACAUUAAAAAAGCCUCACCCAUGUGAAGAAGAAGCAACAAAAUGCUGUAAGUUCAAACAGGAAACAUUAAAGAGUGAGAAUUUGUCUUGAUUUUUCCCACAGUUCCUGUAACAGAUGCACAUCCUAAUGAGGAGUUGAAGAACUGGUAAAACCAUUGGCUCCCAGACACUGAAGGUCUCAACAGUGGAAGAAACUGAAAUCAGAACCAUCAGAAUUUUCACACAGUUGAUGCCUGAAUGCUGUUAUGUCAGGUCCCCCCAAAUAAUUAACUUGAUUUUUAACAGCACUGAUAAAUGCAAUAAAAAGUACACUUGGGCAUCUGGCUCUUUCACUUGUGUUUCCCUAGGUGAUUUCACUCUCAUCGACCUGUGCUGUCACACAUUUACAGGAUUUGAAGUAAAAAAGCUUUCAAAGAGCUACUUGUUACCACAAGAUUCAAAGUACAGUUAUGAGAGUUAGCAGCCUUGUAUCCUCAUGUUUCCCUCACCACUGAAUAAUUACUUUGCUCUGUAAUUCUGAAACAGUAAUUUUCUGUCCAGAAAAGGAUGGAAGAAUUAAUAUUAAAUAUGGAAUAUACAGGAGUGGUAAUAAAUUCAUAGUGACUGAAAAGUCAUACAAAAAAAAAAAAAAAAAAAAAAAAAAAAAAAAAAAAAAAAGUGAAUGAGUCAGAAAUCUCAGCAUCAGAGGAAAUAACUCAUUCAGAUUCAGCCUAAAAAACAGGAAAGUAAUUUCUGCUAGCUGGAUUUUCUGAAUUUACAGGUAAAUAUGUGCUGUUUUAUUUCCAGAAUCCUGGACUAAAGAUAUUAAAGCUGGAAGAAAGCCCCAGUAAAGAUAACAAGAGGGAAAAAAGGAACAAUACCCAACUGAUCAGAAAGCGGAAAGCAAAAAAUGUACUGCAAUUAAAGUGUCAAGACAGAUACUUGAUAUUAAAUGCAAAUAAUAUCUCUGUAUUUAUCAGGUUUUAUAGGACUGAAGCAAAUAUUUAUGUCCUCUAGAUUAAGAAUAUUUUUUACCAUUUAAGACAGAAAUUUGUCAAGUAUCUAGGAUUCUGUAAUCAAACCCUUUUAAAACUGAAGCAGCAGAUGUGCUCCAACAGUCAAGCUUCUUACAAACUGCAAUACCCUUUCUAGAAUAAAGCUGGAAAAAGAUUUAAGAGUAGUUGAAAAAUACCAUUUUACUUGAAUGUAGGUCAAGAAUAAAUAAAGGGUUUUUCUUUCUUUGAGUAUGGUAGCUACCCAUAGUGAUCUAUCCUUUUGUUUCUGGAAUCUGGAGUUUUGACCUGGUUUCUUAGGGCCUGACUUAUUUCUACAGUAUAUAAUUUAUGUAGCAAUUCCUCUACAGAGCUUUUAACAGCAAGAAGAGCUGUUGAAGGAGCUGUUUAGUAGUGAACUACAAAAUCUUUAGUACCUAGUUUAUUUCAUUGCUCCUUUAGAUUGUUCUGCAGUAUUCAGAGCCUGAAUGUAACAGCCCAGGAAAAACAAAACAAAACAAAACAAAACAAAACAAAACAAAACAAAACAACCAAAAAAACCCCACCAAAACUCCUACUGCAGUCUGUGAGUCACUCGUUAUUUUGUCAUGGUUUUAUUUUCCAUUAUUACCUUAUGGCAUUUUGCUGAAUUUUUCUUCAUUGGACCACUCAGAAACCAAAUGGGAAGGUCAGGAUGAGCCUAUUUCUGAGAAAAGUCUCCUCUAAACUUCAUUUUUCAUCUUUGACAGGGAAUGUAGGCUGCAGAAUACAGUCACCAGUUGCACUGCUUUGAAGGAACUGGAACAAUAUCUGGUUUCACCUCCUAAGGGAGGGGGAGAGGAUACACUCGAAGAUUUUACAGUGCUCUCUGAAUCUGUUUAGGGACUGUCCCAUGCUCUGGGCUUGACAGAUUACAGCACGUUGCCUGCUCUCCUUUUUUGUCCUUUGGCUGGUUCCCCAGAAAAUCCAAAAUGCUUGUUCUGGGAGCUGCAAGAGAAGGUCUGGCACACCAAAUGCCCACAGGGUGAUACUGAUUUCUGACACAGACUGGGCCUAGAAAGAGAGGAACUACUGCUCUGUACCUCAUACCAACCCCUGAAGAAAAGGUGACAUGAAAAAUCUGAAUGAACAGACUCCUGAACCUUGUACCUGGAAAAUAACAGCCCACUGUUGACAUGGAGGCCCAACAGGCAAACUUAGGCUACCAGCAAGACACAACAAGGUUGGUAUGAACACCAGGAGCCUUCUCUCUUCUUAUGAGGGCUCUGAGAACUGAGAGGCAUGUGACUGGUGGUAGUACCCACGUGAGACUGAGGCCCUGAGAGAUGACAGUGGCUUGCACCAUGGAGAGCACUCAUGUGUCCUCCCUCCCCAGUGGUGGCCUGCAGCUCUGAGGCUCUACUGUGCUAAUAUGGAAGGGGCUACUCUCAGGGGGACCUCUCUCUGAAAACCACAACAAGGGCAGCUUUAGAAGUAAUUCAGGCAUAGUAGUGUAACUUCACUCUAUGUAGAAGUAAAUCCAUGUAUUUUUAAAAUGUUUGCUGACUCCAGACCAGACAUGUGUUACCCCUCGUAUGGUUCAUGGUCAGCAUGCAGGUAAGCAUGUUUGACAUAUUAGAGCACUGGAACAACACAUACGUUUGAAGGCUUGGUGUGAUUUUUGCCUGUAAAAAUGUUUUCACAUUCAAUAUGUAAUUAAAAGCAGGCUUGAUAUAACCAUCAUUACAGACUAAAAAAAUCAACCUGUAGCUUUAGAAAACAAAUAUGCUUCAUUUUAAAAAAGGAAUGCUAUUACAGUUCUUUAAAAGGCAGGUGGACUCAAUGUGAACGUCCACAAUUUUUUAAAAUGUUUACUCACCAAAUACCUUCCAAAGCAUUCCAAAUCCUGUGUUUCUCUACAGCUUUAGUUAUCACUGCUACAACUAAUGAAUCCAAAGAGCUUAACGGAGAAUAGCUGCUGGGUCAGACAGACAAGUGCACUAAGACCAUUGCGGUAUUUCUGUAGUACUAAUUAGUCUAUUGUAGAUUUAGUAAUUCAUUUUGUAAUGAUGUUGAAUGUUUUCAGUUCUUGCUGUUAAUUGAUUUCAAAUAAGUUUUCUUUCUUGUUUUGAUUUUCUUCUAUGAGCUAUUGUGCUGAGGUGAUGUCCAGAAAGUCUUUGUAUUUUAAAUGUGGAAAUUUCUCACAUUUACAGAUUGGA